rnacentral:rRNA from 1 species
UGCAGAAUCCCGUGAACCAUCGAGUUUUUGAACGCAAGUUGCGCCCGAAGCCAUCUGGUUGAGGGCACGUCUGCCUGGGCGUCACGUAUCAUGUCGCCCCCACCAAUCAGUCCAUAUUGGGUUGCUUUUGUGGGGCGGAUAUUGGUCUCCUGUGCUCAUUGCGUGGUUGGCCUAAAUAGGAGUCGCCUCGAGAGUGAUGCACGACUAGUGGUGGUUGAUAAAACAGUCGUCUCGUGUCGUGUUUUCAUUCUUGAGUCAGAUGCUCUUAACCUACCUUGAUGUGUUUUGUUGUCAUGACACUUCGAUCGCGACCCCAGGUCAGGCGGGACUACCCGCUGAGUUUAA